rnacentral:rRNA from 1 species
UGCAGUCGAACGAGACCCCCGCUUCGGUGGGGUGUUCUAGUGGCGAACGGGUGAGUAACACGUGGGCAACCUGCCCCCGGCUCUGGGAUAACUCCAAGAAAUUGGGGCUAAUACCGGAUAUGACCGCUGACCGCAUGGUCUGGUGGUGGAAAGAUUUAUCGGCUGGGGAUGGGCCCGCGGCCUAUCAGCUUGUUGGUGGGGUAGUGGCCUACCAAGGCGACGACGGGUAGCCGGCCUGAGAGGGUGACCGGCCACACUGGGACUGAGACACGGCCCAGACUCCUACGGGAGGCAGCAGUGGGGAAUAUUGCGCAAUGGGCGGAAGCCUGACGCAGCGACGCCGCGUGGGGGAUGACGGCCUUCGGGUUGUAAACCUCUUUCAGCAGGGACGAAGCGGAAGUGACGGUACCUGCAGAAGAAGCACCGGCCAACUACGUGCCAGCAGCCGCGGUAAUACGUAGGGUGCAAGCGUUGUCCGGAAUUAUUGGGCGUAAAGAGCUCGUAGGCGGUCUGUCGCGUCGGCUGUGAAAACCCGGAGCUCAACUCCGGGCCUGCAGUCGAUACGGGCAAACUGGAGUGUUGCAGGGGAGACUGGAAUUCCUGGUGUAGCGGUGAAAUGCGCAGAUAUCAGGAGGAACACCGGUGGCGAAGGCGGGUCUCUGGGCAACAACUGACGCUGAGGAGCGAAAGCGUGGGGAGCGAACAGGAUUAGAUACCCUGGUAGUCCACGCCGUAAACGUUGGGCGCUAGGUGUGGGGCUCAUUCCACGAGUUCCGUGCCGCAGCUAACGCAUUAAGCGCCCCGCCUGGGGAGUACGGCCGCNAGGNUAAAACUCAAANGAAUUGACGGGGGCCCGCACAAGCGGCGGANCAUGUUGCUUAAUUCGAUGCAACGCGAAGAACCUUACNUAGNCUUGACAUGCACGGAAAUCUCCC